AGGCUCUCCUGGAGGAACUGAAGGAGAAAAAUCUCAUUAACGAAGAGCUGAAGGACAAGCUUGAAUUCUACUCAGAUCUUCCGGUUCAUCUCCUGUCGAGGCAGGGCAUAGAGUACACCAAGGCCCAGAGAGAUUUUGCCCUUACGCUCCAUCUGCAUGGUCCAAAGGCUUAUCACUACCUGAGAGAUACUCUGCAUAUUCAUUUGCCACAUCCCAGUUCAUUGCAAAGGUGGCUGAGUUCUCUUGAUGCCAGAGCUGGUCUCAACAAGAUGAUGUUGGACAUGCUAGAAAGACGGCGUCAGGGAGAUGAGGACAAAUACGGCUGUGUCACUCUG